UACAGAGGGUGCAAGCGUUGUUCGGAAUCAUUGGGCGUAAAGGGCGUGUAGGCGGUCUGUUAAGUCAGCUGUGAAAGCCCCGGGCUCAACCUGGGAACUGCGGUUGAAACUGGCGAACUAGAAUCUGGCAGAGGGGGGUGGAAUUCCACGUGUAGCAGUGAAAUGCGUAGAGAUGUGGAGGAACACCGAUGGCGAAGGCAGCCCCCUGGGCUGAGAUUGACGCUCAGGCACGAAAGCGUGGGGAGCAAACAGG
rnacentral:rRNA from 1 species